AAGAUCAGAUAUAAAGUAGGUGUAGUGGUACAGUACCAGUGACAUUAGCACUAGGCUGUGUGCAUCAGGCAGUAGAUAGGGCCCUUCAUCUUUGCAAAAGGAGCAGUAUACGUACAUUAUAAUUCAAACUUGAAUUUUCCGUACAGACACUAUUUGUAAAUGAAUUAACUUUUAUUAUAAGACACAUGCUCAGGGUGUAGCCUUCCUCUCACCCAGUGCAUGAUGGGACAGGUUUCA